UUCCCAUACGGGUUGAAGCAUGACCGUAAGGACAUGUGGACAGUAUGGGAGUGAGAAUGUUGGCAUGAGUAGCGAGAUGUGGGUGAGAAUCCCACAGGCCGUAAACCCAAGGUUUCCAGGGGAAGGUUCGUCCGCCCUGGGUUAGUCGGAACCUAAGCUGAGGCCGAAAGGCGUAGGUGAUGGACAACAGGUUGAUAUUCCUGUACUACCGAUAACCAUUUGAGAGAAGGGAUGACACAGUAGGAUAAGCUAAGCACACUGUUGGUUAUGUGUGCCCAAGCAUUGAGGCAGUCAAAGUAGGCAAAUCCGCUUUGAUAAUGCUGGGAUGUGAUGGGGAGCGAAAUUUAGUAGCGAAGUAGCUGAUUUC
rnacentral:rRNA from 1 species